AGAAAAUAAAACUAGUUUGAAUACUCUCCUGUCUGGGAUAUCACAGAGAAGAUUUUGGAAGGAGCAGACUAGGGUUCAGAAACUUGCUUGAAGCCAUUAAGAUGGACAGAGAAAGGGGCUGUGAUUGAGGGGAUGUGUCUUCAGCUUGCUGUCAAGAGUCAAGGUCUUGCCCUUUGUUUAGCUCUGUGACCUUUUACAGGUUACAUCCAUAAAAGAUUUAAUAUGAAGUACCUGACUACCUUAAGUGCAUGGUCAUGGGGCCAGUCCUGUGGACCCAGCUUUGGGGCUUUCUGCCUGAGCAGCUAAGGGAAAAGCCUCAAUGGGAAGGAAAAGGAGGUACAUUAAGAGGAUGGUGCUGCUCCUCCAGAAUAUGAGAGCUGAACGGGCUGGCACGCAACCUGCAAUGAGGCCCUGCUCAGAAGACGCCCACCUCUGCUGGGCCUCCUGGCUCCUGGGAUUCAUCAGUCUCCUUCUCAUUUCCAGUCCUUUAGGCAUCUGCAGCACUGGGGCCAAGAGUCCUUGUGCACAUGGUUCUGAAGUUCAGGAUCCUGGAGCCCGUGUUCCCCUGCAGGGGAUCCGAGGAGGUUCUGUGUUGUUUCACGUGACCACGAAGCAAGAAGCUGAACCAGAGGAGAUCUCGUGGGCCUUUGGCCCUGAGUCAAACUACAGUGUCCUUCUGCGAGUCUACCAUGGGGAAGACACUCCAACCUGGGUCAGCUUCCAAGACAAGUACCAGCAGAGGGUCCAUGUGCCCAACAUCCUGUCCCUGAAGAUUGAGAACCUGACCUGUGAGGACAGUGGACAGUACCAGGCUCGACUCAGCUUCCCUGAAGGAUUAGAACUUACCCAGGUUUUCCUCCUCACUGUCUAUGAUUCUGGUGGGAUCAACAUCCAUCACACCAGACUGGUGCAACGUCACCCUGGAGUGCAGAACCUCUGGCGCCACAAAAGACCUGAAUGUGACCUGGGAGAACAAGGGCAUCCCUGGAGAAUGGGAGCAGAGAAGGACAUUAGAACCAGCUUGCAGCCCAUACAUUCUGGCUGUGAGUGUGCCGAGAGGCCAGCCCAAUGCCAGCCUCGUCUGUGUGGUCAGCAACCCGGUGGGAUAUAA
ensembl:lncRNA